rnacentral:lncRNA from 1 species
GGAGGUGAGAGACACACUGAGAACUGGCAGCAGAAAAGCUCUCCUGAGCUUUAUGCCAGUCCUACAGCCAAGCACUGCAGUGUAAUCACCAGGUAUUAAGAAAAUAGAACUGGGGUCUCCAGGCACCUGGCAACAUGGGCAGAUGAAGAAGGAACUAAAGACAUGGAGGGACGAUCAAGGUCCAGGGUCAGCGUGAGGCUCACCUACCCCUGCAGGGGUAGGGAUGGGCCGCUGGAACCAGAAAGACAACUGGGCCUUACACCUGUAAUUAGGCAAAGUGCUUACUUUAGUUGUAAGCAUAAAGUUGUAUGUAGUUGACUCUUUCUAUGAUUUGGCCAUCUACCAGGAAUUCAGUCAUUUCUUUGUUUUAAGGUUCCCACCUAGGGACGUCGAUGGGGAUGGACCUGCCUAAACUCCUGGCAUCCAGGCAGAACCACUCACCUCGUAGAGUCCAGAAAAGGACACCCUGACCAACUGACCUUGACCGGGGACCUUGGUGAAGUCAGAAUGUCCCCACAGGGGUGAGCAACCCGAUUUAUAAAGACUCGAACUAAGCCUUGCUGUCUCCCCGAUGAGUCAAGGGAAGCAGGGUCGCCUUACAGAAUCGGAUGGUUACCCAGCCAAGAAAGAGCUCACCGUGUUUGUUGAUGGCCUAGGAGGUAAUCAAGGGAGAGGCAGGUUUGGGGCAGUGGCCUUCCCCUGCUGGAGAAGGCCUUGGGGAGUUAUUUGAAUCUGCUUUGCAUUCUUCCAAGAUCCAGUUUAUCCGGGCCCUUAAUCAACUAGAAAUGGCAGCCAUCUUGGAUGCAGGCAAGAGAUGCUGCGGCUAGACUGGACUGGAAACAGAAGUACAUUUUCAGAGUUCCCUUCGUGGCUCAGUGGUUAACAAGUCCGACUAGGAACCAUGAAGUUGCGGGUUUGAUCCCUAGCCUUGCUCAGUGGGUUAAGGAUCCGGUGUUGCCAUGAGCUGUAGUGUAGGUUGCAGAUGCAGCUCAGAUCCUGCGUUGUUGUGGCUGUGGUGUAGGCCGGUGGCUAUAGCUCCGAUUAGACCCCUAGCCUGGGAACCUCCAUAUGCCGCGAGAGCAGCCCCAGAAAAGGCAAAAAGACAAAAAGACAGGAAAAAAAAAAAUAAAGUUCAUUUUCAAAUACUCAGACAUUUCCUUUUGGGGGUGGAGAUGGGGUUUGGGACUCACACUCUUCUUGGCUGGAACCCCCUGAAACCAAAUGGGAGGCCUUGCACUGUCUUUUUGUAAUCGUGCUCACCACGUGGCGUUAGAAGGAAGUUGAAUGCCUUUAAAGAGUUGGCCAUGCUGUGCUGUAAAAUAGGAAACUCCAGCAACUUAAAUACCUCACGGUGCCCCUGAGUCUUUUCCCAAGUUCUAGUGUCAUCCUCCACUGGUGGCCAGGGGGCGGUGCACACAGUAGGUUCUCAUGAAUACUAAUGCCCUCCCCUCCCCUCUUGGGGUGGCCCCCAAACACUUAACGGUUAUUAUAACAGGUCAAAUCUCACUCGCCAAUUUGCUUAACCUCACACCACGCUGGAUAUAAAUUCCUUCAUCUAAAUAACGGUCACUCAUUUUCCCCCUGCCUCGAAACAACAGGCAUUUCAUUCAACCCAGCUGGCUGCGCCUGGCAGACAGGCUCACUGGCUCUUAGGGGCUGAAACGUGCUGCGGCUUGUUCCUGCUCCAUCUCUCCUUUUUAGCUUUUCUACAAGCCACAUGCCAAAAUCUGCCCCAUUACUCGAUUAGCACAUUUCAUAUGAAAUUAGGUAUUGCAGGUCUCAUUUUAUUCAAUUAGCUUGGCGCAGGCUGAGGGCAUGACUCAGAGGCACUCCCAGUUUCACCUCCUUCAGUCAUGGCUCCUCCUUUGUCCUGACCCCUGGGAGACCCUGUCUUGCCAGAAUACAGGGUUUCUUCCUCCUGAGGCUUAGGUUAAACUACACUCUCAGGCCCCUUAGCAGGACAGAGCUUUUCCCAACCAACUUCAGUUCGACCCUCUUGAACCCUGACUCGCCAUUGUCUCCCCAAAGCACCCAGAUGAAUGACCUCCAUCUGCCUCCCUGGCGGUGUGGCCCACAGCCCUUCAGACCAGCCCUGUGCUUACCCUGGCCCUGGCGGCUUUUUCAUUCUUCUCCCUGUCACUAGACUAAUGGUUUCUCUAAAAAGCUUCAGCCCUCCAGGCUGCAGUGUCAGCAGCUCUGGGUGGCCCGGCACACACUUCCUCCAGGUACACGUGAGCAUGCUAAAAAUCCUGGUCCCACCCACACAUCCUGGCCUGGUAGCUUCCCCCUGUUCCACUUUGCAGCCUUCACAUUCUCAACUCCCACAUUUACAUUUCAUCAGAGUCAACCUCAGGCUCUCUGCAGUUCCCCCCGUCAAUCCACAGUGAUGUUUUUGGCUAUCCCCCCUGCCCCUGGAAAUGAUUUCCCACCACUCCAGGGGCAGACACACGUGGACCUCCUUUGCUUCCUGGCACACUUUCCCUUUUGUGCCCAACUGUCUCAAGAGGUGUCAAGAAAUGCAUUUGGGGUUCAUUUGCUCAUUCAGCAAAGUUGUCUGAAUACCUACUAUGCAUUAGACCAGAUUCUUUCCCUUCAGGAUUUAUUACCUAGAAUGAGAGGUGAGGAAAAAAAAAAAAUGCAAGUUGUAAUAACAUGAGAGAAAAUGCCUCUUAUGGGAGAGGUAGAGGAAGGCAGGACACUGGUGAGGCUUAAUCUGCAUAUUCACUUUGGGAAUUCUGGGUUAUCACGUUUGAAUCCCAAGACCCCAUGGAAACAGUGAAAAGGACUUUUAGGUCUGAUGAUCAGGAGACUUGGUAAAGACUCUUAAAGGAUAAAGAACAAAUCAGCUGUGAAUCUGCCUUGUGGGCUCAGAACUCACCUUCAACAAGAAGAGAGUGAAGGAAUUUUGAAAGAUCCAGAUUCCCUUUUCUGCCAAGGAGCUGAAUCAGCUUCUUAAGAAAGGUGUCCCUUACACUUAGGGGUUCCCUUUGGCAGUAGGUUCUCUUAAUUGUUCCAAAAUUUGCAUGGCUGUUUGAAGCAAAAUUACAACAUUGUCUUGUGGGUUUUAUAAUGUAUGUAGAUGAAAUACAUAUGAUAACUAUAGUAUAAAAGAAGGGGGUGGGAGUAAUAAACCUCUGCGGUCCUGGAGUUUCUACAUUUUGGUCCUGGAGUUUCUACAUUUUACUUGAAAUAGUAGCUCUAAGUGGACUGUGAAAAGUUAAAGAUGUAUGUUGUAGUCCCCAGGGCAAUCAUUAAAAAAUUAAUGCAAAGAGGUAUAGCUACAAAUCCAAUAGAUAAAUUUAAAUGGAGUUCUAAAAAAAAAUCCAAAAGAGGGUGGGAAGAAGGAACAGAGAAAUAGAAAACAGAGGGGGCAAAUGAAACUAAAUUCAACCAUGUCAAUAAUUACAUUAAAUGUUAAUGGACUAAACAUUGCAAUUAAAAGGCAGAGAUUGUCAGAAAAGUUUUUUUUUUUUUAAAAAAGACCUAAUUAUUUGCAGUCUCUGAAAGAAGUACUGUAAAUAUAAAAUCACAGAUAAGGUUUUAAAAAAUGGAUGAAAAAUUAUAUACAUUCAAAAGCUGGAGAGACUGCUGUAUUAUCAGGCAAAAUAGACCUCAAAACAUAGGGUAUUACCAGGGAUAAAAAGGGACAUUUUCUAAUUGUAGAAGUUUCAAUUUAUCAGGAACGGAAAACACAUAACCAUGUAUGCAGCUUACAACAGUGCUUCAAACACAUGAAGCAAAAAUGGACAGAAUUAAAGGGAGAAACAGACAAUACUAUAAUCAGAGAUGGAGAUUUCAUCAGUGAGGGUGGAGCUGUCUGAUUUCAUCUCCAGGACAAAUGGGUUGGGGAGGCCAUCCCCUGAGCCAGCACUGGGCUGUGGACUAUGGGCUGAGACUCCUCAAGGAAGAAGCUGGGAGGGAGCCAAGCAGCAGUUCAGCAACAAAACCUGGAGAGAUUCUUCGGGCUGGCCCACUGAUAGCCCCAGGUGAUUUUUAUGGACAGCCUACAUCGUGGACUGCCCCUGAGGUGGGGAGGCAGUGGUUGAGGGUAUUGAAGUUGGCUCUGAAGGGAGUGGUAAUACGAAUACUGCCCAUGUUGGAAUGGUCACUUGUGUCGGCUAUUCCAGGACAGGAUGCCAAGUGGAGUGGAAAGCAGCAGUGGAGGCCCCCCAAAAGCUUUACUCACUUACUAUUUAGCUGCUAGAGUUCCUUCAUAAUAUACCUGAUAAGGUGAGCUCAGGUGUCCAAGAACACAAGAGCUAAUCUUACUCUUAAUUGUCUUCAAGACUCAUGGGGUCUGAAGAAGCCCAGUGUUUCUCAAACUUGAGUGUGCAGCAGAAUCACCUGGAGGGCUUGUUAAAACAGAUUGCUGGCCCCACGCCCAGAGUUUCUGAUUCAGCACGUAUGAGGUGGGAUCUGAUGCUGACGCUGCUGGUCCGGAGAUACAUUUGGGGAACCACUAAGGUAAGUGAUUGCCAAGGGGACCCAGAAGAGGGAAAAGUCUUUUAUGAUACACUGAGUCAGUGUGGACAGUCACAACUGGGGUUCCCGACGUGGCUCAGUGGUUAACGAAUCUGAAUAGGAACCAUGAGAUUGCGGGUUCGAUCCCUGGCCUCUCUCAGUGGGUUAACGAUCCGGUGUUGCCGUGAGCUGUGGUGAAGUUUGCAGAUGCGGCUCAGAUCCUGAGUUGCUGUGGCUCUGGCGUAGGCUUGGCAGCUACAGCUCCAAUUAGACCCCUAGCCCGGGAACCUCCAUAUGCCGUGGGUGCGGCCCUAGAAAAG